GAUGAAGAACGUAGAGAAAUGCGAUACGUAAUGUGAAUUGCAAAUUCAGUGAAUCAUCGAGUCUUUGAACGCACAUUGCGCCCCCUGGUAUUCCGGGGGGCAUGCCUGUCCGAGCGUCAUUGCUGCCCUCAAGCACGGCUUGUGUGUUGGGCCCCGUCCUCCGAUCCCGGGGGACGGGCCCGAAAGGCAGCGGCGGCACCGCGUCCGGUCCUCGAGCGUAUGGGGCUUUGUCACCCGCUCUGUAGGCCCGGCCGGCGCUUGCCGAUCAACCCAAAUUUUUAUCCAGGUUGACCUCGGAUCAGGUAGGGAUACCCGCUGAACUUAAGCAUAUCAAUAAGCGGAGGA
rnacentral:misc_RNA from 1 species